rnacentral:lncRNA from 1 species
UUAAAAUGAUCCACCCAGUUACAAAAUUGGUCCAUUCUUUUGUAGAGAACAAAGGGGAUCAAGAUGAGAGCUAAGAACAAAGAAAGGGGAAUUGGGGAUUGGGAUGAAGAAGGCCCAAAAAUAAGGAAGUGUGGGUUGGAAACAAGGGGGUUGAGAUGAGAGCCAUAAUUGUGAUGAUGGUUUCUAGAGAUGAUCUAUUUUUUUAAUGAU